rnacentral:rRNA from 1 species
GAUGAACGCUGGCGGCGUGCCUAAUACAUGCAAGUCGAGCGAACGGACGAGAAGCUUGCUUCUCUGAUGUUAGCGGCGGACGGGUGAGUAACACGUGGAUAACCUACCUAUAAGACUGGGAUAAUUUCGGGAAACCGGAGCUAAUACCGGAUGAUAUUUUGAACCGCAUGGUUCAAAAGUGAAAGACGGUCUUGCUGUCACUUAUAGAUGGAUCCGCGCUGCAUUAGCUAGUUGGUAAGGUAACGGCUUACCAAGGCAACGAUGCAUAGCCGACCUGAGAGGGUGAUCGGCCACACUGGAACUGAGACACGGUCCAGACUCCUACGGGAGGCAGCAGUAGGGAAUCUUCCUCAAUGGGCGAAAGCCUGACGGAGCAACGCCGCGUGAGUGAUGAAGGUCUUCGGAUCGUAAAACUCUGUUAUUAGGGAAGAACAUAUGUGUAAGUAACUGUGCACAUCUUGACGGUACCUAAUCAGAAAGCCACGGCUAACUACGUG